AGAGUUUGAUCAUGGCUCAGGAUGAACGCUAGCGACAGGCUUAACACAUGCAAGUCGAGGGGCAGCGGGGGUAGCAAUACCCGCCGGCGACCGGCGCACGGGUGAGUAACGCGUAUGCAACUUACCUAUCAGAGGGGGAUAACCCGGCGAAAGUCGGACUAAUACCGCAUGAAGCAGGGGCCCCGCAUGGGGAUAUUUGCUAAAGAUUCAUCGCUGAUAGAUAGGCAUGCGUUCCAUUAGGCAGUUGGCGGGGUAACGGCCCACCAAACCGACGAUGGAUAGGGGUUCUGAGAGGAAGGUCCCCCACAUUGGAACUGAGACACGGUCCAAACUCCUACGGGAGGCAGCA
rnacentral:rRNA from 1 species